GCUGGGUGUGGUGGCUCAUGCCUGUAAUCCCAGCAUUUUGGGAGGCUGAGGCGGGUGGAUCACCUGAGGUCAGGAGUUCAAGAUCAGCCUGCCCAACAUGGUGAAACCCCGUCUCUA
rnacentral:SRP_RNA from 1 species